rnacentral:rRNA from 1 species
UACGAAGGGGGCUAGCGUUGCUCGGAAUCACUGGGCGUAAAGUGCGCGUAGGCGGACUUUUAAGUCGGGGGUGAAAGCCCAGGGCUCAACCCUGGAAUUGCCUUCGAUACUGAGAGUCUUGAGUUCGGAAGAGGUUGGUGGAACUGCGAGUGUAGAGGUGAAAUUCGUAGAUAUUCGCAAGAACACCAGUGGCGAAGGCGGCCAGCUGGUCCGAUACUGACGCUGAGGCGCGAAAGCGUGGGGAGCAAACAGG